rnacentral:misc_RNA from 1 species
GAUGAAGACGUAGCGAAAUGCGAUACGUAAUGUGAAUUGCAGAUUUCAGUGAAUCAUCGAAUCUUUGAACGCACAUUGCGCCCGCCAGUAUUCUGGCGGGCAUGCCUGUUCGAGCGUCAUUUCAACCAUCAAGCGCCUCGCUUGUGUUGGGGCCCUGCGGCUGCCGCAGGCCCCUAAAUCCAGUGGCGGGCUCGUCGUCGUACCGAGUGCAGUAAACAUCCUCGCUCAGGGAACCCGACGGGUGCCGGCCGUGAAACCCCCCCUCCUCAAGGUUGACCUCGGAUCAGGUAGGAAUACCCGCUGAACUUAAGCAUAUCAAUAAGCGGAGGA